GAUGAAGAACGUAGCGAAAUGCGAUACGUAAUGUGAAUUGCAAAUUCAGUGAAUCAUCGAGUCUUUGAACGCACAUUGCGCCCCCUGGUAUUCCGGGGGGCAUGCCUGUCCGAGCGUCAUUGCUGCCCUCAAGCACGGCUUGUGUGUUGGGCCCCGUCCUCCGAUUCCGGGGGACGGGCCCGAAAGGCAGCGGCGGCACCGCGUCCGGUCCUCGAGCGUAUGGGGCUUUGUCACCCGCUCUGUAGGCCCGGCCGGCGCUUGCCGAUCAACCCAAAUUUUUAUCCAGGUUGACCUCGGAUCAGGUAGGGAUACCCGCUGAACUUAAGCAUAUCAAUAAGCGGGAGGA
rnacentral:misc_RNA from 1 species